rnacentral:pre_miRNA from 1 species
CAUGUAUUCCCUCCAUCCGGAAAUAAAUGGAUGGGUCUAGGCGUAUUUCAGUUCUAGAUACAUCCAGUUUUAUCCAUUUCUGUGACAUUUAUUUCGGAUGGAGGGAGUAUGAU